GGAGGUCCCGCGGCGCCAGAGGCUGCUUCCCUGCUAGCCUCCUGACUCCUGGGUCUCCACCACAGCCGACUCCACCCACCUUCCACACCCCAAAGCCCCUUGCCCUCUCUUGCCUCUGGGCCUCCUGCCAUGCUGCUCCCUGGAACCCUGCUCCCCUGAUCGCCCUAACCUUUUCUUCCUGGUCCUUCAGAUGCUGCCCAUCCUCCCCCGCCUGGCAGUCUGGCCCUGCCUGGCCGCCUCCCGACGCCCUGGCCUCACCCCCAUCACACCAAGCCUCCCACUGCAAGGACGUGUGCUUCCCACAGGCCAGCCUCCCUGGCCACCUCACAGCAGCCUGGAAGAUACAUACACCCUUGUAAUCACCACUGACAGCAAGCCAGAGAACAUUCCAGAGAACCUUCAGAGACGGGUCCUUCAUGUUCCCGCCUUGUCAGUACCGCUCCCCAUCCUGGGCCAAGGUGCCACGGGCUUCCAUCACCAACUGCUUUUCCCUGUUCCUGAAUCUUAUAUAAAUGGAAUCAUGCAGGUUGGCUUCUUGCGCUUUA